rnacentral:rRNA from 1 species
AGCAGCCGCGGUAAUUCCAGCUCCAAUAGCGUAUAUUAAAGUUGCUGCAGUUAAAAAGCUCGUAGUUGAAUUUCGGGACUAAUAUGUUGGUCGUGCCUCGGUACGUACUGAUAUUUUUGGUUUCUCCCUUCUGACGAACCUUGAUGUCAUUAAUUUGGUGUCUUGGGAAAUCAGGACUGUUACUUUGAAAAAUUGAGUGUUUAAAGCAGGCUCACGCUUGAAUACAUUAGCAUGGAAUAAUGAAAUAGGACGUUUGAUUCUAUUUUGUUGGUUCUAGGAUCGACGUAAUGAUUAAUAGGGAUAGUUGGGGCAUUAGUAUUCAAUUGU